rnacentral:rRNA from 1 species
AGUGAACGGCUGGGCGGCAGGCCUAAUACAUGCAAGUCGAACGGCAGCACAGCAGAGCUUGCUCUGUGGGUGGCGAGUGGCGGACGGGUGAGGAAUACAUGGGAAUCUGCCCAGUCGUGGGGGAUAACGUAGGGAAACUUACGCUAAUACCGCAUGCGCCCUUCGGGGGAAAGCCGGGGACCUUCGGGCCUGGCGCGAUUGGAUGAGCCCAUGUCGGAUUAGCUAGUUGGCGGGGUAAUGGCCCACCAAGGCGACGAUCCGUAGCUGGUCUGAGAGGAUGAUCAGCCACACUGGAACUGAGACACGGUCCAGACUCCUACGGGAGGCAGCAGUAGGGAAUAUUGGACAAUGGGCGCAAGCCUGAUCCAGCCAUGCCGCGUGAGUGAAGAAGGCCCUCGGGUUGUAAAGCUCUUUUGUCCGGAAAGAAAAGCGCCGGGUUAAUACCCUAGUGUCCUGACGGUACCGGAAGAAUAAGCACCGGCUAACUUCGUG